GGAAAGUUGGGUGUGAUGGAAGUUUGUGUAGGUUGCUCAGGUACUGGUAUAGGUUCAGGAGGAGAGGUAAGGUCAGUAAUGGAAUCAUGUUGUUGGUUGAGAUGUGGUGAGAAGGUUGGUUUAGGUUGUGUAGUUUUGGUAAGGAGAAAUAUGUUCCUUAAAAACCACAUCCCUAGAUACACAGAUGGUGUUGGUGUCAAGAUUAUACAGUUUAUAGCCCUUAUAACCAGUAGGAUAUCCCAAGAAAACACACCUGAAAGAUCUCUGGUCCAACUUUUUCUUGUUUGGGCUGACAUUGGUUGCAUAACACAAGCAACCAGAAUAAUCUGGUGGCUUGCCAUUAAGAAUCUCAUAUGGGGUCUUCCAUUUCAGUAUCUUGAUAGGUAAUCUAUUGAUGAUAAAUGUGGCUGUCAAUAAGGAUUUCCCCCAAAAUUUUUUGGCAAAUGUGAUUGAAACAUAAGAGCUCUUUCUAUUUCUAACAAUUGCUUGUGUUUUCUCUCAACUAUCCCAUUAUGUUGAGGGGAAUAAGGGCAAGACUUCUGAUGUUCAAUAUCUCCAUCUUUAAAAAAUUGGUCAUGGAAAGAGUUGAUAAACUCUGUCCCAUUAUCACUCCUUACUAUUUUUACAUGAGCAGCAUAUUGAUUUCUCACCAUGUUAAUGAAAGUAGCUAGGACUGAGGGUUUGAGCUUUGUCAUUUAAUAUGUAUGUCCAGGUAGAUCUACUGCAAUCAUCAACUAUGGUGAGCAUGUAAUUUGCUCCUGUCACUGAAUAUUCCCUAUAAGGGCCCGAAAGAUCAACAUGUAUAAGAUGAAACAAUUUUUCAGAAUGUGAUUGACAGGGAAUGACAAUCUGUGCUGUUUUGAAACAUGAC
rnacentral:misc_RNA from 1 species